rnacentral:misc_RNA from 1 species
UUUCCGUAGGUGAACCUGCGGAAGGAUCAUUACAGAGUUCUUGCCCUUACGGGUAGAUCUCCCACCCUUGAAUACAUACCUUUGUUGCUUUGGCGGGCCGCGCUUGCGCUACUGGCUUCGGCUAGUACGUGCCCGCCAGAGGACCACAACUCUUGUUUUUAGUGAUGUCUGAGUACUAUAUAAUAGUUAAAACUUUCAACAACGGAUCUCUUGGUUCUG